rnacentral:rRNA from 1 species
AUACGUAGGGAGCGAGCGUUGUCCGGAAUUACUGGGCGUAAAGGGUGCGCAGGCGGCCAUUUAAGUCAGCGGUUAAAUCGUGGGGCUCAACCCCAUUCUGCCGUUGAUACUGGGUGGCUUGAUUGCGGUCGAGGUUGGCGGAAUUCGUUGUGUAGCGGUGAAAUGCAUAGAUAUGACGAAGAACACCGAUUGCGUAGGCAGCUGACCAGACCGCAAAUGACGCUCAUGCACGAAAGUGCGGGGAUCGAACAGGAUUAGAUACCCUGGUAGUCCGCACAGUAAACGAUGAAUACUUGUUUUCGGCGAUAUAAUGUCGGAGGCAAAGCGAAAGCGAUAAGUAUUCCACCUGGGGAGUACGCCGGCAACGGUGAAACUCAAAGGAAUUGACGGGG